GGUAUGAUCAAGCCUGGU
rnacentral:siRNA from 1 species